rnacentral:rRNA from 1 species
AUGAACGCUAGCUACAGGCUUAACACAUGCAAGUCAGGGGCAGCAUGAAUCAAGCUUGCUUGAUUGAUGGCGACCGGCGCACGGGUGCGUAACACGUAUCCAAUCUACCCAUGGCUCAGGGAUAGCCUUUCGAAAGAAAGAUUAAUACCUGAUGGUCUAUACAGGAGACAUCUCCAGUAUAGUAAAGAUUUAUCGGCGAUGGAUGAGGAUGCGUCUGAUUAGGUAGAUGGCGGGGUAACGGCCCACCAUGCCGACGAUCAGUAGGGGUUCUGAAAGGAAGGUCCCCCACAUUGGAACUGAGACACGGUCCAAACUCCUACGGGAGGCAGCAGUGAGGAAUAUUGGUCAAUGGUCGAGAGACUGAACCAGCCAAGUAGCGUGAAGGAAUGACUGCCCUAUGGGUUGUAAACUUCUUUUGUAUGGGAAUAAAGUGCCGCACGUGUGCGGUUUUGUAUGUACCUUACGAAUAAGCAUCGGCUAAUUCCGUGCCAGCAGCCGC